CAAGAUUGCUGAUAAAGAUACACUAAUGCAACAUAAAGAAUAUAAUUUGAUAAAACAAAAUGAUUGACAACAUGAUCAUGUGUGUCUAAAGUGCUUGAUAUAGAGGGUUUGGCUAAUGGUUAUCUUAUAAAAAGGAAAUGUGUCAGCCCUUCUGUUAAUUUUACAGACUACAGACUUCAUCUGUAGAGCAGAGCAGCCUGAAGUAGUAUAGUGGCGCUCUCUGCUGGUGAAAUAUAAUGUCCAAACAUUCAGAUAAAAGGUGGGAAAACAUCUUAAAAUUGAACAUCUACUGCAACAUCUAUAUUAGAUCUUUCUUCUUUGAUUUUUUAAAAAAAAUUCUUUUUUUACAGUAUUUAUUAAUUGGAGUUGUCCUGGUUGCUCAAAUUUGUGCGAUUGAUGCACUGUAACUCCUUUGAUACAAAAUAUGAUAACAUCUUAGUAAGGUUUAUUCCAACAUUGCUCACGGUUUACCAAAAUUUGGUUCAACCUGUGGCCUUCUCCUUCCCUUCUCAGCCUUCUCUUGGGAUUUGAGAGCUGUACAGUGAAUGUUAAUGUCAACCCUGCCUCUGACUGACACUCAAUUCUUUUUGUUUUUUCAUUCUCCGGCACCUGUGCUUGGCUGUCAGACAGUUCAGAGCGUGACUCGGCUGCCAUCCCUGCAGAGGAACAACAGGCUCUGUGACAAAGGUUCCCACGACGCUGCCCGGGGGACCCCAAAUGUGGAGGCAGGGAAGGGAUGGAAGAAAGCUAUGAGACAUUUGAAGAGGAGUUAGGGCCACCAAGAGCAGAUCCUCCUCCACAGAAGCCUGUUCGACAGAUCCGCAGGCCAGAAAUGUACGCCACGAGGAAAGUCAGAGAGGAAAUGCCUCCAGUUUCACAGCAACCAAGAGGAGAACUCCGGACUUCACCCCGGGAACCCAGCUUCCCCAGAACAACGUCCUUGCGCAAAGCAAUGUCCAUCCAAAACCUGAGCCAGAUUGAAACGCCGUGGGAGAAUGUCACCCUGAACCGCUGUCUGUUUGUGGCCAUUACCAUCCUGGUGCUCACCUCAGGCUUUCAGAGGCUUCAUGAAACUCUACGUGGUCAGGGGCCAGCGGAGGAGGAGGAACUUGGGCUGGCAGUGAGACGGUCGGGCUCAUUGCGACACAGAAGACAACCACCAGAGCCCGAGACAACUCUAUGGGAAGUCAUGUUCUGGUGGCUGCCAGACCUUGAUGAUGAAGAGGAUGAGGAGGAAGAGGAUGAUGAAGAGGGUAAAAGAAGAAAGUCAAAGAGCCGAGCAACGGCACCGGCAACAAGAGGUCUCAGAAACAAGCCACUGCCAGUCAAAAAACUCACGAAGCCAAGAGAAGGGAAAUUAAAAGACAGGAGAGCCAAAAAAGACAGGGAUGAAGAAAUCCAAGACAAGAAAGAGAGAGAUAAAACAGAAGAACCCAAAGAAGCAGCGGGUGAUGAAGAUGAGGAUGAAGUAAAGGAGGAGGCAGUGCCCAAGAAGAAGAAAAAGUUGGAGGAACAGAAAGAGAAGAAAAAGAUUCAAAAGGGAUGA
rnacentral:lncRNA from 15 species